rnacentral:tRNA from 1 species
CGGGCGUGGCGGGCGUGGGAUGCCGCCGACUCGGCCGCGAGCCGGCUCGGCGGUGGGUACGUCCAUCCGUGGCUGAUGUUCGGCUCGGCGGCGUGUGC